UUGGAGGGCAAGUCUGGUGCCAGCAGCCGCGGUAAUUCCAGCUCCAAUAGCGUAUAUUAAAGUUGUUGCAGUUAAAAAGCUCGUAGUUGAACUUCGGGGUUCACCCAUUGGUCAGGCUUAAUUGUCUGUACUGGUGAGAUGAAUCUCUACCUUCUGAGGAACUUUCAUGCCAUUUUUGGUGUGAUGGGAAAUCAGGACUGUUACUUUGAAAAUUAGAGUGUUUAAAGCAGGCUAACGUCUGAAUACAUUAGCAUGGAUAAUGAAAUAGGACGGAUUGAUUCUAUUUCGUUGGUUUCUAGGAUCACCGUAAUGAUUAAUAGGGAUAGUUGGGGGCAUUAGUAUUCAAUUGUCAGAGGUGAAAUUCUUGGAUUUAUUGAAGACUAACUACUGCGAAAGCAUUCGCCAAGGAUGUUUUCAUUAAUCAAGAACGAAAGUUAGGGGAUCGAAGACGAUCAGAUACCGUCGUAGUCUUACCAUAAACUAUGCCGACUAGGGAUCGGACGAAGUUAUUUAUAAUGACGCGUUCGGCACCUUACGGGAAAC
rnacentral:rRNA from 1 species